rnacentral:rRNA from 1 species
UAGGGAAUCUUCGGCAAUGGACGAAAGUCUGACCGAGCAACGCCGCGUGAGUGAAGAAGGUUUUCGGAUCGUAAAACUCUGUUGUUAGAGAAGAACAAGGACGUUAGUAACUGAACGUCCCCUGACGGUAUCUAACCAGAAAGCCACGGCUAACUACGUGCCAGCAGCCGCGGUAAUACGUAGGUGGCAAGCGUUGUCCGGAUUUAUUGGGCGUAAAGCGAGCGCAGGCGGUUUCUUAAGUCUGAUGUGAAAGCCCCCGGCUCAACCGGGGAGGGUCAUUGGAAACUGGGAGACUUGAGUGCAGAAGAGGGGAGUGGAAUUCCAUGUGUAGCGGUGAAAUGCGUAGAUAUAUGGAGGACCACCAGUGGCGAAGGCGGCUCUCUGGUCUGUAACUGACGCUGAGGCUCGAAAGCGUGGGGAGCAAACAGG